GUUAAAACGUGUGCUCGUCACCCAGUGUGCUCUAAAAUAGGAUACUGUCUCUAGGGAGAACAGGGCAACUGUGCUGGCUACUGCUAGUUUAAAACAAAGCCAAAUAUUAGUACUGUCUCCCCUAGACCCUAGCCCCGGAGCGUCUAACUUUCAAACCUGCCAAUUCCUACAGGUGUGUCACGUCUCCAUUCGCCGCAGAGUCGACUGACGCUAGUGCACUAAGACCCUCCGUCCACAAGGAGGCGCCGUUCCCAUUCCUGAGAAAAGAAAAAAGGAUAAAUCUUGCCUUCUAUGGUCAUAUAUUUGAGCUUGACAUUAAGACCGCUAACCAAUCACAUCACAUCACAGGUUAUGGGCAAUGCAGUUUUUAAAAGCACGGUUUUCACACCUGCAAAGACGCUUGCAAAUGUCGGCCAAUAACAAAUUGACUCCAAAUCCUGCUUGCAGAUUGGCCUUGGGGGGGCAGUGUCAUUGGCCUACAACAUACGGGUUUGGGGGGUUAGUCAGCGAAUGUAUUUGGCUGAGGUGGAGGGCCAGAAAAUGCGUUCCUUCUGGCGCGUUAGAGUUCCAGUAUAGACUUCCUGGUUUGGUCAGCAGUGGGACUAGAACCAGAAGGGUCUGAUGUCAGGACACUGGAGGAGCUGCGAUUAAGCAUUGGGGAGAGAAAUAGUGUAAAAGUAAAAAAACUAAAAUGUCUUAAUGUCUUUAAAAGCUGCAGUGCCAAUUACCUGUCAUGGGACUGAAUUCUGGCUUAAUAUCCAGAGAGGGCUAUUACAAAAAAAAUGUGGGAAAACCUGAAUGAAUGCAUUUCAUAUUCCAGUCAGUCUUCUGGAUAUAAGAGUCUUUUUUACAAUGUGUGGCAUGUUAACAGUGUUAUGUAUCUAUUGCUACUGUACUGAUUUACUGUAGAUACCUACUUGGAGCACAGCAUGGUGAGGGUCUGGGAUCUCUCUGACUCCUCAGGGUCAUGCUGAGGUCACAUGUUAAGGGUCAGAGGUCAGGUGGGGUGGAGAGAGAGCGAGAGAGACAGGGUGAGGGGGAAUUGCCAGGAGUGGAAAAGAACCCGAGGACAAAUUGCGUGACAGGGAUGUAUGCGUGUGUGUGCCUGUGUCUAUGUGUGUCUUGCCGACGGUUUGGCUCCACCCAUGGUUGCUGCUCCGCCCUCUCAUUACCCUCCCAUGGUGCCGUUCCUAUGACAACUUUCACUUCCUGUCCCUAGGUGGUGAACAGUGGGGUUGUCAUACCAACCUACACUUCCUGGUUACUAAUCAGAGGGGUAGGCGCUGAGUGAUUUGAGAUCCUGAACUGAAGGUGCACUGCCAUGAUGAUGUAUGGAAACACAUAACCUGUUUGUUAGGGAACAAC
ensembl:lncRNA